rnacentral:rRNA from 1 species
UACGGAGGGUGCAAGCGUUAUUCGGAUUCACUGGGUUUAAAGGGUGCGUAGGUGGGCUGGUAAGUCCGUGGUGAAAUCUCCGAGCUUAACUCGGAAACUGCCGUGGAUACUAUUAGUCUUGAAUACCGUGGAGGUGAGCGGAAUAUGUCAUGUAGCGGUGAAAUGCUUAGAUAUGACAUAGAACACCAAUUGCGAAGGCAGCUCACUACACGAGCAUUGACUCUGAGGCACGAAAGCGUGGGGAUCAAACAGG